UACGUAGGGUCCGAGCGUUGUCCGGAAUUACUGGGCGUAAAGAGCUCGUAGGUGGUUUGUCGCGUUGUUCGUGAAAUCCCCGGGCUCAACCUGGGAAUGGCAUUUGGGACUGCAAGGCUGGAGUGCGGCAGAGGAGACUGGAAUUCCUGGUGUAGCAGUGAAAUGCGUAGAUAUCAGGAGGAAUACCGAUGGCGAAGGCAGGUCUCUGGGCUGACACUGACGCUCAUGCACGAAAGCGUGGGGAGCAAACAGG
rnacentral:rRNA from 1 species